CAGCGCAUAGCUAAACACAGAUAUAGCGCCUCCCUUACACUGAGGAGUUACCCGUGCAAACCGGGUUGCCCUGA
rnacentral:tRNA from 1 species